GCCUAAAUACUAACCAUUUACCGAUAGUGAACAAGUACUGUGAAGGAAAGAUGAAAAGAACCCGGGGACGGGAGUGAAAUAGAUCAUGAAACCUCUAUCCUACAAAGAGCCAGAGCACAUUAAGGUGUGAUGGCGUGCGUUUUGAAGUAUGAGCCGGCGAGUUAUUGUUGCAUGCAAGGUUAAGCUGACAAAAGCGGAGCCUAAGCGAAAGCAAGUACUAAUAGUGCGAAGUAGUAUGUGGCAAUAGACCCGAAACAGAGUGAGCUAUCCAUGGGCAGGUUGAAGGCGGGGUAAAACCCUCUGGAGGACCGAACCGACUACCGUUGAAACGUUAGCGGAUGACCUGUGGAUAGGGGUGAAAUUCCAAUCGAACUCUGUGAUAGCUGGUUCUCGCCGAUAUAGUUUUAGGACUAGCGUUGGAUAACGAGGUAACGGAGGUAAAGCACUGAAUUCAUGAUGGCGCUCCCUGAGUGUACUGAAUGAAAUUAAACUCUGAAUGCCGUUACAUCUACUCCAGCAGUGAGACUACGGGGGAUAAGCUUCGUGGUCGUGAGGGAAAGAGCCCAGACCAACAAAUAAGGUCCCUAAAUUUAGCUAAGUGGAAAAGGAAGUAUCAAUUCAUAGACAACUAGUAUGUUGGCUUAGAAGCAGCCAUCAUUUAAAGAGUGCGUAAUAGCUCACUAGUCUAGUUUUUUUGCACCGACAGUAUAACGGGGCUAAGCUAAAUACCGAAUUUUUGGGUCUCUUGAGAAUAGGAUGUUCUUAAGAGACGGUAGGCGAGUGUCAUAUAUACAGUGAAGCUUGAGCGUGAGUACAAGUGGAGUAUAUAUGAGUAAGAAUGCCGGCGUAAGUAACGUAUGAAAGUGAAAAUCUUUCUAGCCGAAUGACUAAGGUUUCCAGGGCGAGGGUCGUCCACCCUGGGUUAGUCGGACCUAAGAUGAGGCCGAAAGGCGUAAUCGAUGGAUAGCGAGUUAAUAUUCUUGCACUAAUCUGAUUGGCGAAAGGGAUGACGGAAGAGGUUAAUAUGUGCGGGUUAAUGGAUUCCCGUUUAAGUUCCAAGUAGGAGAAGCAGGCAAAUCCACUUCUCAUAUACUACAAGGGAUGAAUAGGAGCGAAAGAGGAAACUCAACUAGCGAAGUCAUAUACAUCACAUUCCCAAGAAAAGUCUCUAGCACUAACAAUCAGGUAUCCGUACCGAGAACGAACACACGUGGUCAGGGAGAAAAUCCUAAGGCUAUCGAGAGAACUACAGUUAAGGAACUCUGCAAAUUCACCCCGUAACUUAGGGAGAAGGGGUGCCUAUAGUAAUAUAGGCCACAGUAAAGAAUGAGGGGGGACUGUUUAACAAAAACAUAGCUAUAUGCAAAAACGAAAGUUAAAGUAUAUGUGGCGACACCUGCCCAGUGCCAGAAGGUCAAUGAAGGUCGUUAGCGUAAGCGAAGCGUCUAACUUAAGCCCUGGUGAACGGCGGCCGUAACUAUAACGGUCCUAAGGUAGCGAAAUUCCUUGUCAGGUAAAUUCUGUCCCGCUUGAAUGGUGUAACC
rnacentral:rRNA from 1 species